GUGGGGAAUUUUGCGCAAUGGGGGAAACCCUGACGCAGCAACGCCGCGUGCGGGACGACGGCCUUCGGGUUGUAAACCGCUUUCAGCAGGGAAGAAAUUCGACGGUACCUGCAGAAGAAGCUCCGGCUAACUACGUGCCAGCAGCCGCGGUAAUACGUAGGGAGCGAGCGUUAUCCGGAUUCAUUGGGCGUAAAGAGCGCGUAGGCGGCCUCUCAAGCGGGAUCUCUAAUCCGAGGGCUCAACCCCCGGCCGGAUCCCGAACUGGGAGGCUCGAGUUCGGUAGAGGCAGGCGGAAUUCCCGGUGUAGCGGUGGAAUGCGCAGAUAUCGGGAAGAACACCGAUGGCGAAGGCAGCCUGCUGGGCCGCAACUGACGCUGAGGCGCGAAAGCUAGGGGAGCGAACAGG
rnacentral:rRNA from 1 species